AAAGGAGACGGAGGCAUGAGGAGGCUGAGGACUAGCGAAUUAGGAAGAACUCAAGAUCACCCUGCAAAAGAAAAAAAAAGGAGGGGGAGUGGGGAGAAGAAAAAGGUUACCAGUCCCUUCCAACAGCCACCAGCCUGCAGUAGCUGUUGAAGAACCCUUCCCAAUCCCACAGCAAGUACUCCAGCUCCUUGCAUGCGUGUGAGUGGAAUGCCGAGUGCAUGCAGCUCUCCUGGACUGUGCUGCUACACCCGGGGGGAGGCAUUUGUCUCCAUGCAGAUGGUGCUGAGCUAUUCUGAAACCCCAGGCAUGCAACCGAUAAAGAGGCACGCUCUCCUUUCUGUUGCUUACUACAAGGGAAACAACUCCUGGAGUGACUCUGCUGCUGGGAGCAGCAUACGGGAGCCAAACAUCUCAGUGGCAAUACACGGCUUUUCCAGCAAGCAGGAAUACGAUUAACUUUUCAGUAAAUUAUCAGGGACAAACUCAAACACAAAGUUAAGCAAAAA